UACGUAGGGUGCGAGCGUUGUCCGGAAUUAUUGGGCGUAAAGAGCUCGUAGGCGGUCUGUCGCGUCUGCUGUGAAAACUCAGGGCUUAACCCUGAGCUUGCAGUGGGUACGGGCAGACUAGAGUGCGGUAGGGGAGACUGGAAUUCCUGGUGUAGCGGUGAAAUGCGCAGAUAUCAGGAGGGAACACCGGUGGCGAAGGCGGGUCUCUGGGCCGUAACUGGACGCUGGAGGAGCGAAAGCAUGGGGAGCGAACAGG
rnacentral:rRNA from 1 species